rnacentral:tRNA from 1 species
GGGGUUGUGGCUCAGUGGUAGAGUGCUUGCCUGGUAGAGUGCAUGUGUGAGGCACUGGGUUCACUCCUCAGCACCACA